AUGCAACAUUAUUCGUGCCUUUUAUCUUUUGAUCAGGUGGCUGCUGCAAAGGCAAAUUUAAACUAUAUUGGGUUAGGUGGAGAUAUUGGCUGCAUGGUGAAUGGAGCAGGGUUAGCAAUGGCUAUAAUUAAGUUGCAUGGAGGUACCUCUGCCAAUUUUCUGGAUGUAGGUGGCAAUGCUUCUGAAGACCAGGUUGCACUAAAGUACCCGUAA